rnacentral:misc_RNA from 1 species
AGCAGCCGCGGUAAUUCCAGCUCCAAUAGCGUAUAUUAAAGUUGUUGCAGUUAAAAGCUCGUAGUUGAAUUUCGGGAUCAAUUAAUUAGCCGUGCCUAUGGUACGUACUGAUUUUAUUGGUUUCUCCCUUCUGACGAACCAUGAUGUCAUUAAUUUGGUGUCGUGGAGAAUCAGGACUGUUACUUUGAAAAAUUAGAGUGUUUAAAGCAGGCUAACGCUUGAAUACAUUAGCAUGGAAUAAUGAAAUAGGACGUUUGAUCCUAUUUUGUGGUUUCUAGGAUCGACGUAAUGAUUAAUAGGGAUAGUUGGGGGCAUUAGUAUUCAAUUGUCAGAGGUGAAAUUCUUGGAUUUAUUGAAGACUAACUACUGCGAAAGCAUUUGCCAAGGAUGUUUC